rnacentral:rRNA from 1 species
GACAGAGGGUGCAAACGUUGUUCGGAAUUACUGGGCGUAAAGCGCGUGUAGGCGGCAAGGCAAGUCGGGUGUGAAAGCCCUGGGCUCAACCCAGGAAGUGCAUUCGAUACUGCCAAGCUAGAGUCCCGGAGAGGAUGGUGGAACUCUCGGUGUAGAGGUGAAAUUCGUAGAUAUUCGCAAGAACACCAGUGGCGAAGGCGGCUCACUGGUCCGGUUCUGACGCUGAGGCGCGAAAGCGUGGGGAGCAAACAGG